rnacentral:snRNA from 2 species
AAAUGUGCUCUUUUGGUAUUUCUUCAGUAGGUUUCCUCCAGGGGAAAGCCCCC